UCCACGCCCUAAACGAUGAUCACUCGACAUAUGCGAUAUACUGUAUGUGUCCUAGCGAAAGCGUUAAGUGAUCCACCUGGGGAGUACGUUCGCAAGAAUGAAACUCAAAGGAAUUGACGGGGGUCCGCACAAGCGGAGGAGCAUGUGGUUUAAUUCGAUGAUACGCGAGGAACCUUACCUGGGCUAUAAUGUUUUUUGACCUCCCGAGAAAUCGGGAUUUCUCUUCGGAGACA
rnacentral:rRNA from 1 species